AUUGAACGCUGGCGGCAUGCUUUACACAUGCAAGUCGAACGGCAGCACAGCAGAGGUAACUCUGUGGGUGGCGAGUGGCGAACGGGUGAGUAAUACAUCGGAACGUACCCUGUUGUGGGGGGAUAACUACGCGAAAGCGUAGCUAAUACCGCAUACGCCCUGAGGGGGAAAGCGGGGGGACCCUAAAUAGAGCGCACUGGGGAGUGCGUUGUAUUUAGGGCCUCGCGCAAUAGGAGCGGCCGAUGUCGGAUUAGCUAGUUGGUGAGGUAAAGGCUUACCAAGGCGACGAUCCGUAGCUGGUCUGAGAGGAUGAUCAGCCACACUGGGACUGAGACACGGCCCAGACUCCUACGGGAGGCAGCAGUGGGGAAUUUUGGACAAUGGGGGCAACCCUGAUCCAGCCAUGCCGCGUGAGUGAAGAAGGCCUCGG
rnacentral:rRNA from 1 species